rnacentral:rRNA from 1 species
GUGGGGAAUAUUGGACAAUGGGCGAAAGCCUGAUCCAGCCAUGCCGCGUGUGUGAAGAUGGUCUUCGGAUUGUAAAGCACUUUAAGUUGGGAGGAAGGGUAGUAACCUAAUACGUUGCUACUUUGACGUUACCGACAGAAUAAGCACCGGCUAACUUCGUGCCAGCAGCCGCGGUAAUACGAAGGGUGCAAGCGUUAAUCGGAAUUACUGGGCGUAAAGCGCGCGUAGGUGGUUCAGUAAGUUGGAAGUGAAAUCCCCGGGCUCAACCUGGGAACUGCUUUCAAAACUGCUGAGCUAGAGUACGGUAGAGGGUGGUGGAAUUUCCUGUGUAGCGGUGAAAUGUGUAGAUAUAGGAAGGAACACCAGUGGCGAAGGCGACCACCUGGACUGAUACUGACACUGAGGUGCGAAAGCGUGGGGAGCAAACAGGAUUAGAAACCCCGGUAGUCC